rnacentral:rRNA from 1 species
UACGGAGGGUGCAAGCAUUAAUCGGAUUUAUUGGGCGUAAAGGGCGCGUAGGCGGAAAGAUAAGUCAGUUGUGAAAUCCCGGGGCUCAACCUCGGAACAGCAAUUGAAACUGUCUUUCUAGAGGAUAGAUGGAGAAAACGGAAUUCCACAAGUAGCGGUGAAAUGCGUAGAUAUGUGGAAGAACACCGGUGGCGAAGGCGGUUUUCUAAUUUAUACCUGACGCUGAGGCGCGAAAGCAAGGGGAUCAAACAGG